rnacentral:pre_miRNA from 1 species
UCUUCAUUUCCCAUGCUCUCUUGACGAUCAGAGAGGGCGAGAGAGCAUGGAACAUGAAGAGA